UUGUAAUUGGAAUGAUAGAAAUUUAAACCCUUUUUAAAGUAUCAAUUGGAGGGCAAGUCUGGUGCCAGCAGCCGCGGUAAUUCCAGCUCCAAUAGCGUAUAUUAAAAUUGUUGCAGUUAAAAAGCUCGUAGUUGAAGUUCUGCUGAAAGUAACCGGUCUGCUUUUAAUAAAAGUGGUAUCUUGGUAUGUAUUUAGCAAUGAUGUCCUUUGAAGUGUUUUUUACUUUAUUGUAAUAAAGCAUAUUCAGGACUUUUACUUUGAGAAAAUUAGAGUGUUUCUAGCAGGCUGACGCUUUGAAUACUGCAGCAUGGAAUAAUAAGAUAGGAUUUUAGUUCUACAUUAUUGGUUUUAAGAGCUAAAUUAAUGAUUGAUAGGGACAGUUGGGGGCAUUUGUAUUUAACUGUCAGAGGUGAAAUUCUUAGAUUUGUUAAAGACAAACUACUGCGAAAGCAUUUGCCAAAGAUGUUUUCAUUAAUCAAGAACGAAAGUUAGGGGAUCGAAGACGAUCAGAUACCGUCGUAGUCUUAACUAUAAA
rnacentral:rRNA from 1 species